rnacentral:sRNA from 1 species
GGAGAGUGGAGCGGAACUUCUGGACAAGCCCUGACAAGCCAAGCCAAAGGUCCGCUCCGGCGCGAGUGGGUGAGUGCGCGCCGCCCCGCGGGGGCGGGGAGAGAGCCUGCAGCCUUCAGAACAGAUAAUGCUAAUUUUUUGGCAGUUCUCAGACGUAGGAAAUCAGUCAGCCCCGAAGCAGUAGUUAAGCCGGAGGGCUCGGAAGAACGGCACCUUUUCUUUCUCGAAAAAGUUAUAUGGGGGCUGAAUGAGCUUCUGGAGGCUUGUUUACCGUCUUUUAUUGUCACACAGGAAAAGAAACUGCCUUGUCUCCCUUCCGGGAAUUCUCUAAGACUGUUCUUACGUCUGUUGCUAGAUUAUCGUCCAAAAGUGUUAAUGCCCAAGUGACUGACAUCAACUCCAAGGGACUGGAAUUGAGGAAGACUGUUACUACAGUUGAGACUCAGAACUUGGAAGGCCUGCAUCAUGAUGGCCAAUUCUGCCAUAAGCCCUGUCCUCCAGGUGAAAGGAAAGCUAGGGACUGCACAGUCAAUGGGGAUGAACCAGACUGCGUGCCCUGCCAAGAAGGGAAGGAGUACACAGACAAAGCCCAUUUUUCUUCCAAAUGCAGAAGAUGUAGAUUGUGUGAUGAAGGACAUGGCUUAGAAGUGGAAAUAAACUGCAUCCGGACCCAGAAUACCAAGUGCAGAUGUAAACCAAACUUUUUUUGUAACUCUACUAUAUGUGAACACUGUGACCCUUGCACCAAAUGUGAACAUGGAAUCGUCAAGGAAUGCACACUCACCAGCAACACCAAAUGCAAAGAGGAAGGAUCCAGAUCUAACUUGUGGUGGUUGUGUCUUCUUCUUCUUUUCCCAAUUCUACUAAUUGUUUGGGUGAAGAGAAAGGAAGUACAGAAAGCAUGCAGAAAGCACAGAAAGGAAAACCAAGGUCCUCAAGAAUCUCCAACCUUAAAUCCUGAAACAGUGGCAAUAAAUUUAUCUGAUGUUGACUUGAGUAAAUAUAUCACCACUGUUGCUGGAGUCAUGACACUAAGUCAAGUU